AGUGGGGAAUUUUGCGCAAUGGGCGAAAGCCUGACGCAGCAACGCCGCGUGUGUGACGAAGGCCCUAGGGUUGUAAAGCACUGUGGGAGGGGAAGAAAAAACGGGAUAGUCUCCCGUCUUGACGGUACCCUGUUAGAAAGCACCGGCUAACUCCGUGCCAGCAGCCGCGGUAAUACGGAGGGUGCAAGCGUUGUUCGGAAUUAUUGGGCGUAAAGGGCGUGUAGGUGGCACUCCAAGUCUGGUGUGAAAGCCCACGGCUCAACCGUGGAACUGCAUUGGAAACUGGGGAGCUCGAGUGUUGGAGGGGGUCGCGGAAUUCCCGGUGUAGAGGUGAAAUUCGUAGAGAUCGGGAGGAACACCAGUGGCGAAGGCGGCGACCUGGCCAAUCACUGACACUGAGACGCGAAAGCGUGGGGAGCAAA
rnacentral:rRNA from 1 species